UACGAGUGCCUCAAGCGUUAUCCGGAAUCAUUGGGCGUAAAGGUUGUGUAGGUGGUUUUAUUAGUCUUCUGUUAAAUUCUCGGCUUAACCGGGGGCAUGCAGAGGAAACGGUAAAACUAGAGGAUGCGAGGGGUUAGCGGAACUCAUAGUGUAGCGGUGAAAUGCGUUGAUAUUAUGGGGAACACCAAAAGCGAAGGCAGCUAACUGGAGCACUCCUGACACUGAAACAAGAAAGCGUGGGUCGCGAAUGGG
rnacentral:rRNA from 1 species